AGAGCGAACGCUGGCGGCAUGCUUAACACAUGCAAGUCGCACGGGCAGGGCAACCUGUCAGUGGCGGACGGGUGAGUAACGCGUAGGUAUCUAUCCUUGGGUGGGGGACAACUGUGGGAAACUACAGCUAAUACCGCAUGAUAACCGAGGUUUAAAGGCGCAAGUCGCCUGGGGAGGAGCCUGCGUACGAUUAGCUAGUUGGUGGGGUAAAGGCCUACCAAGGCUGCGAUCGUUAGCUGGUCUGAGAGGAUGAUCAGCCACAUUGGGACUGAGACACGGCCCAAACUCCUACGGGAGGCAGCAGUGGGGAAUAUUGGACAAUGGGCGAAAGCCUGAUCCAGCAAUGCCGCGUGUGUGAAGAAGGUCUUCGGAUUGUAAAGCACUUUCGACGGGACGAUGAUGACGGUACCGUAGAAGAAGCCCCGGCUAACGUUCGUGCCAGCAGCCGC
rnacentral:rRNA from 1 species